AUUGAACGCUGGCGGCAUGCCUUACACAUGCAAGUCGAACGGUAACAGGUUAAGCUGACGAGUGGCGAACGAGUGAGUAAUACAUCGGAACGUGCCCAGACGUGGGGGAUAGCUCGGCGAAAGCCGGAUUAAUACCGCAUAAGCUCUGAGGAGGAAAGCGGGGGACCGUAAGGCCUCGCGCGGUUGGAGCGGCCGAUGGCAGAGUAGGUAGUUGGUGGGGUAAAGGCUUACCAAGCCUAAGAUCUGUAGCUGGUCUGAGAGGACGACCAGCCACACGGGGACUGAGACACCGCCCAGACUCCUACGGGAGGCAGCAAUGGGGAAUUUUGGACAAAGGGCGAAAGCCUGAUCCAGCAAUGCCGCGUGCAGGAUGAAGGCCUUCGGGUUGUAAACUGCUUUUGUACGGAACGAAAAGGCGCCUACUAAUACUGGGUGUUGAUGACGUUACCGUAAGAAUAAGCACCGGCUAACUACGUGCCAGCAGCCGCAGUAAUAC
rnacentral:rRNA from 1 species